rnacentral:rRNA from 1 species
UGGAACAGAAAGAAACUUGCUCUCGGGUGACGAGCGGCGGACGGGUGAGUAAUGUCUGGGAAACUGCCUGAUGGAGGGGGAUAACUACUGGAAACGGUAGCUAAUACCGCAUAAUGUCGCAAGACCAAAGUGGGGGACCUUCGGGCCUCAUGCCAUCAGAUGUGCCCAGAUGGGAUUAGCUAGUAGGUGGGGUAACGGCUCACCUAGGCGACGAUCCCUAGCUGGUCUGAGAGGAUGACCAGCCACACUGGAACUGAGACACGGUCCAGACUCCUACGGGAGGCAGCAGUGGGGAAUAUUGCACAAUGGGCGCAAGCCUGAUGCAGCCAUGCCGCGUGUGUGAAGAAGGCCUUCGGGUUGUAAAGCACUUUCAGCGGGGAGGAAGGCGAUAAGGUUAAUAACCUUGUCGAUUGACGUUACCCGCAGAAGAAGCACCGGCUAACUCCGUGCCAGCAGCCGCGGUAAUACGGAGGGUGCAAGCGUUAAUCGGAAUUACUGGGCGUAAAGCGCACGCAGGCGGUCUGUCAAGUCGGAUGUGAAAUCCCCGGGCUCAACCUGGGAACUGCAUUCGAAACUGGCAGGCUAGAGUCUUGUAGAGGGGGGUAGAAUUCCAGGUGUAGCGGUGAAAUGCGUAGAGAUCUGGAGGAAUACCGGUGGCGAAGGCGGCCCCCUGGACAAAGACUGACGCUCAGGUGCGAAAGCGUGGGGAGCAAACAGGAUUAGAUACCCUGGUAGUCCACGCCGUAAACGAUGUCGAUUUGGAGGUUGUGCCCUUGAGGCGUGGCUUCCGGAGCUAACGCGUUAAAUCGACCGCCUGGGGAGUACGGCCGCAAGUUAAAACUCAAAUGAAUUGACAGGGGGCCCGCACAAGCGGUGGAGCAUGUGGAUUAGUUCCUAUGCCAACGCGGAAGCACCUUUACCUGGUCUUUUGACCAUGCGCCCACCAGGAAAAAACU